CUUCCUGUAAGUAUAUAUUUUAAUUUUUAUGAAUCUCUGAAAGCAUUAUUAAUCAUGUUUUAUCCUACAGCUGAUAAAAAGGUGUUUAAGAAAGAAUUAUUGGAUGGUGUGAAAUCCUUCAGAGGAGGGCAGGUUAAUGUCAAUGACCUAACGAGUGUUUUACAAAACACUGGGUUCAGACUCGAAGAAAAAGAAAUCAAGGACCUGAAGAGUCACCUGCCAGUGACUGAAAAUGAAAAGGUUGACCUGGAUGUCUUGAUGGAUGCAGCAAAAGCUUUUACAGGAGAAAAGGUUGAAGCUGAUAACCUUAAAAAUGUGCUGAGAAACAUGGGGAUCGAGCUAACAGAAAAAGAACACUCGAUGCUGUUAAAAACUCUGCCAGUCUGUGGUGAGUAUUUAGCAUACCAUCAUGGCAUGGAGCUGUGGUAUCGUAGGCUCCUGGACAAGAACUGUGAGAAACCCGCUGUGUUAGUCAGGGUUCUCUAGAGGGACAGAACUAGUGGGGGAGAGAGAGAGACAGAGAGAGAGAGACAGAGAGGAAUUUAUUAAGGAGUAUUAACUCACACAAUCACAAGGACCCACAAUAGGCCGUCUGCAAGCUGAGGAGCAAGGAGAGCCAGUCCAAGUCCCCAAACUGAAGAACUUGAAGUCCAAUGUACAAGGGCAGGAAGCAUCCAGCAUGGGAGAAAGAUGUAGGCUGGGAGGCUACGCCAGUCUUGUCUUUUCACAUUUUUCUGCCUGUUUCAUAUUCUAGCCACACUGGCAGCUGAUUCGCUUGUGCCCACCCAGAUUAAGGGUGGGUCUGCCUUUCCCAGCCCACUGACUCAAAUGUUAAUCUGCUUUGUCAAUACCCUCACAGACACACCCAGGAUUAAUACUUUGCAUCCUUCGAUCCAAUCAAGUUGACACUCAGUAUUAACCAUUACACCCCCUAAGGAAUGAAAUUCUGGCAUAAGAAACCCAGUUCUUGGCCAGGCGUGUUGGCUUACACCCACAAUCCCAACACUUUGGGAGGCCGAGGUGAGCAGAUCAGCUGAGGUCAGAAAUUUGAGACCAGCCUGGCCAACAUGGUGAAACCCUGUCUCUACUAAAAAUACAAAAAAAUAAACUGGGCAUGGUGACAGUUGCCUGUAGUCCCCUACUUGGGAGGCUGAGGCAUGAGAAUCACUUGAACUCGGGAGGCAGAGGUUGCAAUGAGCCAAGAUACUGGGCAAUACAGUGAGAUGCC
rnacentral:lncRNA from 10 species